rnacentral:rRNA from 2 species
UGGGGAAUAUUGGACAAUGGGCGCAAGCCUGAUCCAGCCAUGCCGCGUGAGUGAUGAAGGCCCUAGGGUUGUAAAGCUCUUUCACCGGUGAAGAUAAUGACGGUAACCGGAGAAGAAGCCCCGGCUAACUUCGUGCCAGCAGCCGCGGUAAUACGAAGGGGGCUAGCGUUGUUCGGAUUUACUGGGCGUAAAGCGCACGUAGGCGGACUUUUAAGUCAGGGGUGAAAUCCCGGGGCUCAACCCCGGAACUGCCUUUGAUACUGGAAGUCUUGAGUAUGGUAGAGGUGAGUGGAAUUCCGAGUGUAGAGGUGGAAUUCGUAGAUAUUCGGAGGAACACCAGUGGCGAAGGCGGCUCACUGGACCAUUACUGACGCUGAGGUGCGAAAGCGUGGGGAGCAAACAGG